UACGUAGGGUGCAAGCGUUGUCCGGAAUUAUUGGGCGUAAAGAGCUCGUAGGCGGUCUGUCGCGUCUGCUGUGAAAACUCAGGGCUUAACCCUGAGCUUGCAGUGGGUACGGGCAGACUAGAGUGCGGUAGGGGAGACUGGAAUUCCUGGUGUAGCGGUGAAAUGCGCAGAUAUCAGGAGGAACACCGGGUGGGCGAAGGCGGGGUCUCUGGGCCGAAACUGACG
rnacentral:rRNA from 1 species